AUGAAGCACAACUCCCCGCAGGGCCCCCAGCCCACAGGGGUGGCCAUAUUUGGGCAGUUCCCAGUCCUGUGGGCUCGGCUAACUGGGGAGCAGAUUUUGGGUCUGGAUCUCCCUGGGGAGUGGGUCCUGGGCUUGGAUCUUUCCCUAGGGGGCCAUCUUACCCCUUCCUCUCUCCUCCUCCUCCCCCAUUGCUGUAAAUAUUUCAACGAAAUGAAAAAGACAAAAAAAAAAAAAAGACAAAAAAAAAAAAAAAAAAAAGGAAAGAAAAUCUCAUCACUUGAAGCCACCGGGAGCCUGUGGCCCAGCCAGCCCGGGGCUUUCUCCGGAGCAGAGUGGCGCCGCCGGGCCCUGGCAGCCAGGACUUCUCCGUGUAUGUGUGCAUCCCCAGCCGGGGUGGGCGGGCCGCCAGAGCAGCUUUUUACAAUCCAGAGACAGAAAACAAAAUCUAGAAGUAACAGCGAAACAAAGAACCUGUUUCCUUCCCGGCACUGUUUCUGUCGCCUCUUUCCCUGCUCCGCCUGUCCCUGGCCUCAGUCAGCCCUCCUGGGGCGUGUACCUCACUGCCUGCCCCAGGACCGGGGCCUGUCUCCCCCUCCCCUCCCCACUGGCCCGGGGGAGACACCCUCACACCCAAAGAUGCUUUUGCCAAGAUGGCUGCGCUGUCCCUUUGAGUUCCUGCUUCUUGUAUAUUGCUUCUGGGACUCUGGGCCGAGGAAGAAGGGACUGAUUUCCCACCUAGAGAGGUUGAUGGGGGAAGGAAAGUGGAGGCAGCAAGUGGUGGGUGUGACCGGGAGGCUAGGAGUGGUGAAGUUGUUUUCUGUCUUGAGGGGGGUGAGGAGGGUAUGCAAAGGUGAGAGAUCACCUUCCCUCCCCUACACCCUCCUGCAGGGGACACAGAGCCAAGUACCAGGGCCUGCAGUCAGGACACCUUUGUAUUGGGGGCUCUACCCCCAACCUAUAGACUCUGGAAGCUUCAGGCUGGGGAUGUCUCCUGAGUACCUCUUCCAGCACCCUCCUCCCCAGCCUCUCACCCUGGCCUCCCCUGCCCCAACUCUUUGA
rnacentral:lncRNA from 1 species